rnacentral:rRNA from 1 species
CAGUCGCCGCGGGAAUACGAAGGGUGCAAGCGUUACUCGGAAUUACUGGGCGUAAAGAGCUCGUAGGCGGUCUGUCGCGUCUGGUGUGAAAUCCCGAGGCUCAACCUCGGGCUUGCAUCGGGUACGGGCAGACUAGAGUGCGGUAGGGGAGACUGGAAUUCCUGGUGUAGCGGUGGAAUGCGCAGAUAUCAGGAGGAACACCGAUGGCGAAGGCAGGUCUCUGGGCCGCAACUGACGCUGAGGAGCGAAAGCAUGGGGAGCGAACAGGAUUAGAUACCCCUGUAGUCCCUGUCUCUUAUAC